rnacentral:rRNA from 1 species
GAUGAACGCUGGCGGCGUGCCUAAUACAUGCAAGUCGAGCGAACAGACGAGGAGCUUGCUCCUCUGACGUUAGCGGCGGACGGGUGAGUAACACGUGGAUAACCUACCUAUAAGACUGGGAUAACUUCGGGAAACCGGAGCUAAUACCGAAUAAUAUAUUGAACCGCAUGGUUCAAUAGUGAAAGACGGUUUUGCUGUCACUUAUAGAUGGAUCCGCGCCGCAUUAGCUAGUUGGUAAGGUAACGGCUUACCAAGGCGACGAUGCGUAGCCGACCUGAGAGGGUGAUCGGCCACACUGGAACUGAGACACGGUACAGACUCCUACGGGAGGCAGCAGUAGGGAAUCUUCCGCAAUGGGCGAAAGCGUGACGGAGCAACGCCGCGUGAGUGAUGAAGGUCUUCGGAUCGUAAAACUCUGUUAUUAGGGAAGAACAAAUGUGUAAGUAACUAUGCACGUCUUGACGGUACCUAAUCAGAAAGCCACGGCUAACUACGUG